rnacentral:rRNA from 1 species
AGUGAACGCUGGCGGUAGGCCUAACACAUGCAAGUCGAACGGCAGCACAGUAAGAGCUUGCUCUUACGGGUGGCGAGUGGCGGACGGGUGAGGAAUACAUCGGAAUCUACUUUUUCGUGGGGGAUAACGUAGGGAAACUUACGCUAAUACCGCAUACGACCUACGGGUGAAAGCAGGGGAUCUUCGGACCUUGCGCGAUUGAAUGAGCCGAUGUCGGAUUAGCUAGUUGGCGGGGUAAAGGCCCACCAAGGCGACGAUCCGUAGCUGGUCUGAGAGGAUGAUCAGCCACACUGGAACUGAGACACGGUCCAGACUCCUACGGGAGGCAGCAGUGGGGAAUAUUGGACAAUGGGCGCAAGCCUGAUCCAGCCAUACCGCGUGGGUGAAGAAGGCCUUCGGGUUGUAAAGCCCUUUUGUUGGGAAAGAAAAGCUGCAGGUUAAUACCCUGCUGUUCUGACGGUACCCAAAGAAUAAGCACCGGCUAACUUCGUG